rnacentral:rRNA from 1 species
UACGGAGGGUGCGAGCGUUGUCCGGAAUCACUGGGCGUAAAGGGCGCGUAGGUGGCCUGACCAGUCAACGGUGAAAGCUCGACGCUCAACGUCGAGUCGGCCGUCGAUACUGUCGGGCUGGAGCACUGUAGAGGCUCAUGGAAUUCCGGGUGUAGCGGUGGAAUGCGUAGAGAUCCGGAAGAACACCGGUGGCGAAGGCGGUGAGCUGGGCAGUUGCUGACACUGAGGCGCGACAGCGUGGGGAGCAAACAGG